UACGAAAUGUUAGUUACAGAAGUGGGUCAGGAAAACAAAUUCCUUUCAUUCAGGCUGUUACUUCUUGACCUAGUCACAUGGGAGGCACUAGGAAUCCUGAGUUCCCAUCCCUGAUUUUCUGGUGAGAGUGGGUUUUGCCUUUCCACCUCUCAAAUGGAAAUGCCGGACAAGAAAACCCCCAUCAUCCCCUCUAGCUCGGAUAUCCAAGCAUUCUCUGAUGCACACACGAGAGCAGUAUGGCCGAAGAAAUAGUUUUAUAAGCUUCGAUGACAUUCAAGAUUCCUGAUUAACACCCCCUCUCUGUGGUUACAUGAACAUGCAGGUGCCAGGCAUUCAUCCUGAAAGGACAUAAGAUAACUAUGGGCUGGUGAAUCUGGAAAAGUGACAAACUGGGUUUAAAAUAGUCAGUUCCUGAGAGAAUGAUGGUUCCGUUGGCCAAGGCAAGAAAACCCUAAGAAGAAACUUACAUAGAUGGAAAAUUGACAGAGAACAGGAGGUCAGUGAUUAGCUUCAUGGUACAUCUUAAUUUAUGGUGUGGCGGGAAGAGAAGACACCAUGAAGAAAACCCACAGAGAAGAAGUGGGUAGUGAAGUAGGAGAAGAACAGGAAAGUCCCCAGGGCUGAAGAAAGAGGAAGGGCUGAAAGGCCUGAUAAAAAAUGAUUUGUCCAACGUCUAGAUUCUACAAAGUGCCUGACCCUAAAAAGAGAAUGAUGAUGGAAAAGAGCGGCGGGGCACCCGGGUGGCUCAGUCCAUUAAGCGUCUGACUUUGGCUCAGAUCAUGAUCUCAUGGUUGAGAAGAGGCAGGCCACACCUUUGGAACGCUGAGGUGUCAUUUCCAGCUUGCACAAGUUUGUUCACCAGAGCCAGAAGCCAACAUAACGGAAGAUUUUGACAAUUCCUCGGAAAAUAACUCUGAAGCUAUAUAAAGAGUGGCUGCACCAGCUUGCAUUCCCAUAACUGCAUCUGCAAUAUUACAAAGAAGAAAAACUUAAAUGCACAUAAAAGGCUUGCUGAAGGUCUCAUAUGCAAUCUUAUUUCACUUCAUUUCUUCUUCCUACCAACUUCAAUUUAAUACUUGAAGCACUGGGUCAGCUUGCAAACUUAAUGCAAAUGUGUCAUUUUAUUAUACAUCUAGAAGAAAAAAAUGGAGAGCCUCAGAGGUAGGCCCCCGUCUCUCAUUGCUUCCUCUGAACUCGACAUGACAAGGACUCUCUUCUGCCCAGAAAGAAACAGCUUCAUGUCAAGGCAACUUGGAAGUUGGAAGCUGAAGGAAACUGUUAUGUAAAUAAAGAAGACUGAUAAAACAGAAGAAAAUGGGGCAGUAAAGACACCUUGUUCAGGAAAA